rnacentral:lncRNA from 1 species
AGAGGUCCCACGGUGGGAACAGUGAGACACUGCUCUGAUUCACAAUGCUUCCAUGAUGCUUGAGUCACAGAGGAUAACUCAGAAGUUGUUACCAGUGCUCCUUAUGCUCCACAAAAUCCUAAUUUUACAGGCACCAUCCCAGCCAUUAGAUAUACUGCAGUGUUAAACUUCACUAUUUCAGUUGGCUCUUUCACCUUGGCAUUUCGCUACCAUCACCUCCCCAAGUGUUUUCACAGAGCAGCCUUCAAGACAAACUUUCCUUCGAGACCAGUCAACGUGCAUUCCUACCAUUUCUUCACCUCCGUCCACGUAACCGGUUCCUGUUCCUACCGUUUUACUAGAACUGCUCUUCCCAAGAGAACCAGUGACCUCGUGGUGACUAAGGGCAAGUCCAAGUUUGUUCUAGCCAUUGCUUCUCCUCUACAACCUGUGAGCCUGCACAGGAAGCCACCAAAUGAAAAUUGAAACUCUCUGAAGAGAUCAUCC